GACGAACGCUGGCGGCGUGCCUAAUACAUGCAAGUCGAGCGGACUUUGUUAGUAGCUUGCUACUAAUUUGGUUAGCGGCGGACGGGUGAGUAACACGUAGGCAACCUGCCCCUUAGAUCGGGAUAACAUUCGGAAACGAAUGCUAAGACCGGAUAAACAACUUGAUCGCAUGGUUGAGUUGGGAAACGCGGAGCAAUCUG
rnacentral:rRNA from 1 species